UUUAUUAUUGUGUCUUUAUAACGGAGAAAGAAGUUCACGGUUGGGGCUGCCUUGGAUUUAAUGAUGCCGUGUUGUCUUAGAUUUGGAAUAACAUUGCUGUUAGCAGUGUUAGUCACUGAAGUUUGGACGCAGAACCCCCCUCUAGGCUCGGUGAGGACAGAAUGUCAAGGGAGUGUUAUGAUGAUGAUGUUGGAGAAGUCUUUUGUUGGAAAGUAUUUUCGCAUCAAUGUGAUUGACAAUAAGGGGGCGCUUGUGUCCCUCUCUCCAAGACUGGCUGCACAGUGUGGAUAUAGCUUAACCGUUGACUUCUUGGGAAAUGCCAAGGUCCUUGCUUCUGUGCUGAGUUGCUUUGCUC